rnacentral:rRNA from 1 species
UACGAAGGGGGCUAGCGUUGCUCGGAAUCACUGGGCGUAAAGGGUGCGUAGGCGGGUCUUUUAAGUCAGGGGUGAAAUCCUGGAGCUCAACUCCAGAACUGCCCUUGAUACUGAGGAUCUUGAGUUCGGGAGAGGUGAGUGGAACUGCGAGUGUAGAGGUGAAAUUCGUAGAUAUUCGCAAGAACACCAGUGGCGAAGGCGGCUCACUGGCCCGAUACUGACGCUGAGGCACGAAAGCGUGGGGAGCGAACAGG